rnacentral:lncRNA from 1 species
AAUAUAACCCUGUGGCAACAUUUGUAAAAGUGACUCUGAGAAGACAGAAAGAUCCUCUAUGAGAGGCUGGUGUCCCCAGGAAUUGGCGAGGCCUGCUGAGGAUCAUUUGGGUAAAUGUCAUGGUCACGCGGCCCCAUUCUCUUCGCUGAGCUCCGGAUUUCCGUAGCCAAUUGUCUGCUGGACAUUCCUCCCUGAGACAUCUCACAGGAAACUGACUUUUCUCAAAAAUGAACUCUCCCUACCAAUCUGCACCAUGAAAUUAUUUCAGCAAAAAAUAAUGGUUGCCCAUCACCGCACACUGCGUGUGACUCAGCCAUCACUCACAGGCAAAGAAGGGUGUUCUCUCCUCUCCCUGUCAGUUACUAAUUCUCUGUAAAUGACCAUUUGACAUCCUGGCCGGGGAGGAUUCAGAUCAGAGAUGACUUCCCCACUGCCACAAAGUAUGGUUCUGGGAAGGACAACCAGCCCCAAGGCCACGAAGGUUCUGAAAAAGUUUCUUCUCAUUUGAAGUCCAGUAUUUCCUCGGCCCCAUUUUUCUGUUAAACAAUCCUUUUCCCUUGGAGAUUGCUAAAGCUUAGCUCCAGGGC